ensembl:lncRNA
GUGAAGGACACGGGAGCCUCUAUUGUGCUGCAGUCCAUGUGGUCGCAGAGAGUGGGACAUGACUUAGCAACUGAACAGCAACACUAAGGCCCAGGGAGGAUGCCAUACUUGGUUCCAGGGCAUAUGGCCGCCAGUGAGUGGCAAAUCAGGGAUUGGAACCUGGGUCUGGCUGACCCCAGAUGCUCCACCACCCGCCCCCCCGCUCCUCCCCACUGGGAGCAGAUAUCAGACCAGAAGCUGAGCCUCUCCUCAUCCCUCCUCCUGGCUGAAACUGGGUUCCCAGAGGCUGAACAAACGCCGGCUGUCAGCAGCUCCUCUGGCCUCUGAUAAAUCGAGAGAAUUAAAAUCCAUUUAGAGGGAAAUCUCUAAAUAGGUCUGUGUUGUGUUUUGUGUGUGUUUUUUUUCUGUCUUUUUUUCUGCCCCCCUGCUGUCUCUGGCUGGGUAAUGUAUUCCAGGCGCAGAACUGAAUCUGGCUUAAUUGAAUUUAAAUGCAGGUAUUACAUCUGUACCUUGUAAGCGAAGGCGGGUGGAGGAAUCGCCGAGGAGAUGGAGUAUUUUUACCCAGCUUUGCACCGAGGAGCCCCAAGCCUCCACCAUCUACUUCCGGUCUCUGUGGAUCUGACUCCUCCAGGGAUCUCCUGUGAGUAGAACCAGUGUUUGUCCUUCUGUGUCCGGCUGAUUUCACCAAGCAUCAUGUCCUAAGGCUUCAUCCGUGUUGCAGUGGGUGUCAGAAUCGCCUUCCUUUUUAAAGAUUGAAUAACAUUCCAUUGUAUGGAUGGACCCUAAUUUGUUUAUCUGUCAACUGUGGACAGAUACCUGGUUUGUCUCCUGUGAAUAAUGCUGCUGUGAGCACAGGUGUCCAAGUAGGUCUCUGAGUCCCUGCUUUCAAAUAUUUGUUUGUUUGUUUGUUUGUUUUGACCACGCCACCUGGCAUAUGGGAUGUGGGAUCUUAGUACCCCAACCAGGGAUCAAAGCCACGGCCCCUGCAGUGAAAGCACAGUCUUAACCACUGCACCUCCAGCUUCUUGUUCAGUCACUAAGUCAUGUCUGUCUCUUUGCAACCCCAUGGACUGCAGCACGCCAGGCUUCCCUGUCCUUCACUAUCUCCCAGAGCUUGUACAAACUCGUGUCCAUUGAGUCGGUGAUGCCAUCCAACCAUCUCAUCCUCUGUCACCCUAUUCUCCUCCUGCCCUCAAUCUUUCCCAGCAUCAGAGUCUUUUCCAAUGAGCUGGCUCUUUGCAUCAAGUGACCAGAGUACUGGAGCUUCAGCUUCAGCAUCAGUCCUUCCAGGGAAGUCCCUCAAAUUUUUUGUUUCUACCCACAGGUGGAAUUGCUAAAUCAAAUGGUAAUUCUGUGUUUAAUUUUUGACAGACCACUGUACUGUUUUGUCACUUCCUUUUAAUUUGGUUUUGG